rnacentral:rRNA from 1 species
CAGGACCGUGAAACGCCUUAGCGCCGAUGAUAGUGCGGCAUUCGCCGUGUGAAAGUAGGACACUGCCAGAC